rnacentral:rRNA from 1 species
UGCCAGCCGCCGCGGUAAUACGGAGGGUGCAAGCGUUGUUCGGAAUUACUGGGCGUAAAGCGCGCGUAGGCGGCUUUUUAAGUCAGAUGUGAAAGUCCACGGCUCAACCGUGGAAGUGCAUUUGAAACUGGAAAGCUUGAGUAUCAGAGGGGAUGGUGGAAUUCCCGGUGUAGAGGUGAAAUUCGUAGAUAUUAGGAAGAACACCAGUGGCGAAGGCGGCUCACUGGCCCGAUACUGACGCUGAGGUGCGAAAGCGUGGGGAGCAAACAGGAUUAGAUA